CUUUUCUAAUAAUAUAUUCUUUCACUUUAUUUUUUAGUUUUCUAACCUGAAUGUUGAAGAGUCCCCAUCGGAGCCAACUUCGAUCAAGGACUUAUUUUAUAGAUCAAGCCACCACCGCUCAAUGAUAGCCCACAUCUCUUCUCUAGCCAAUCCGACCUCAGUCAGAAGACUAGUAACAAUAGAUUGAUACCAGAGGAAGGGCCUCCAUU
rnacentral:lncRNA from 1 species